UGUAAACAUCCUACACUCAGCUU
rnacentral:ncRNA from 4 species